GUGGACGUUUUUUUUUUUUCAUUUAUAUGUAUUGUCUGGAUUUAUUUCAGCAUUUUUUGUAGUUUUCCUUGUAGAGAUCUUCGACACCCUUGGUUAGGUGUCUUAUUAGAUAUUUCCCUUUUUUAUGGCUAUUGUAAAUGGGUUUGUGUUCUUGAUUUAGCUCUCAUUGAGGAUAUUAUUGGUAUAUAGAAAUGCUACUGGGUUUCAUACAUUGAUUUUGUAUCCUGUAAAUUUACUGAAGUUAUUUAUCAGUUCGAGGAGCAGUUGGGCAAAGACUAUGGGGUUUUCUAGGUAUAGAAUUAUGUUAAUAGUUAAGAGAGAUAUUUUCCCUUCUUCUUUUCCUAUUUAGAUGCCUUUUUAUUCUCUCACCUCUGAUUGUUCUGGCUAGGACAUCCAGUACUAUGUUGAAUAGCAGUGGUGAGAGUAGGCAUUCUUGUCCUUCCAGUUCUCAAGGGAAAUGGUCUCAGCUUUUUCUUGUUCAGUAUGAUAUUGGCUGUGGAUUUGUCAUCGAUGGUUCUUAUGAUUUUGGACGUAUGUUCCUUAGAUACUCAGUCUGUUGGGGGUUUCUGUUAUAAAUGGAUGUUGGAUUUUAUGGUGCUUUUUCUGCAUCUAUUGAGAUGAUCAUGUGCUUUUUGUUUUUUAUUCUGUUUAUGUGAUAAAUCACAUGUAUUUAUUUGAGUAUGUUAAAACCCAACUUUUAUAUUCCAGGAAUAAAUCUUACUUGUUUUUGGUAAAUUAACUUUGUGAUAUGUUAUUAGAUUCAGCUUGCUAGUAUCUUCUUGAGGAUUUUUACAUCCAUUUUCAUCAAGUAUACUGACUUGAAGUUUUCUUUUGUCAUUGUGUCUCUGAUAGAUUGUGUAUCAGGAUGAUGCUGACUUUGCAGAAUAAGUUCGGAAGGAGCUCCUCAUCAUCAAUUUUUUUGGAAAUAUUUUUGGUGUUCCAGGCCACAGGGCUUCCUCAAGCAGAGGCCACAGCUGGCAGACAAACCACCCCCUUCUUGGAUCAGCCCUGCAAAGUGAAGUAUGCCCUGCUCCCAUGACAGCUUAUGAACCCAGCAUCACAUCCUACUCAGUUCUGAUAAAGAAGACACCUCUCUCAUUCAGGUAAAGAAAGCUUUUCAAGUUUUACUGACUGAAGACAAUCAACCCUCUUCACAACUGAGAACCUGAAGAUUGAAUCUUCUGAGAACAUCAGAGAAAGACUACCCUUGCCAUCCAUACUGCAGAAAAACUUCAGGACCUUGAACCUUGGGUUCAUAAUCUAACAACUCAGAAGUGUCUCUCCACACUCUUGGAACAGUACACCCAUUGGAAACCUUAAGGUAAAGCUAACCAGGAAAGUUUUUCCACAGAACAAGGCAUCCUUAAUGUGAACAGCUUUUUCUCAAGAUAAAGAUCAAGAUUUCUCCACUAUCAUAAUACUCUUAUCUUUCCGUUUUUACCCUUGCUUAUGCCUCUAUGAACAAUAGGAAUGAAAGGAGCUCUGUUGUGCAGACUUAUAAGGUAUACUUUUAUUUGUAAAGAUUCUUACAGCCAGCCUUAUACAUGGAUAACUCUAUGACUUAAUAGAUGGAAGAUGAAGGCCUAAUGGAGGUGAGAUAUUUUGUUGGUACGCACACUGUCUCAUAAUCAGUAAGAAAUAGACAUUUGUCUGUUAAAGAGACAUGGGUUAAAGAGAACGUUUCCAGGAGGUCUUUACUCUUCUAAAAGGGAACCGUUUUUUAGGUCUUUUCUUUCUCAUAGUUUGGAGUAAAGGAGACAAUGAUUAAAAAUUUAGCCUCGUAAUAGGCUCUGUAGCAGAUUUUACUAUAAAGGCUAUGGGUGCACAACAGACUUUAAAUUGUCUUGUGAAAGUUAUUCUAAAUAAUAGAAUUGCUCUAGAUUACUUACUAGCUAAACAGAGAAGUAUCUGUGCAGCUACUGGCACUAGUUUUCCAUGGAAAAAUACAUCACAUUAGGUAUGAUAGAGAUUCAUUCGUAGGGGAUUAACAGUCUACUUAGUUAAAGCGAGCAGACUCUUUAUCCAGCUCGUUCCUUGAUCUAUUUAAUUUUAGGUGAUUUGGUUUAUGGGGACCCUGGCCAAGGAGCAUAAUUCAAACUCUUGAUAUUGUCCUCCUGAUAGUCAUAAUAGUAGUCUCCCUGGUGCACCAUGUUCUCUCAAGUUUUAAAUGUUUGCAUGCAACCACCUUUCAAAUGUUAAAUGGUAUCUCUUUUUUUUUUUUUUAUUGAAGUCAGUGAGACAAAGAACCCACCAAUUCCGGACACACUAAUUCCUUCUUUUAGCAUAAUGAAGGCAGAUAAUUUUCUAUAAUAAAGGGAGGGCUUUUCUGGGAAUUGAUUGGGCAAUUCCCAGAAUCAGUGCCAUCCUUUUUUUCUUACUAAAUAUGUUUAAUCUGAAACUGUUAUGGCACCAGGUGUAUGAUGGGAAUAGGAGGUUUCCCCAUGGAAAUAUUAUGGUAAUGGGAGCAUAAUGCAGUCAAGGGUCAGCAGCUAGUCAAGUUUUCAGCCAUCUUGGAUUUAACCACUUGUGGAUUUAUCUACUAGCAGUUUUUUCUUUGUUAGGAUAUUCUUAUUUGUGCCUAAACAAGAUAUCUAUAAUCUGUCUUCAUUGUUAUAACCUGUUGCAACAGUUCUUUGCUAGUAGGGGACAUGUCUUUGUGAUAAUGUGUUUGGUCCUAUUUGUAUUGCUUUGAGCCACCUGCAAGUAAUCAUGUCCUGUUUCCUCGCUAAAUGCCUGCCCUACUUUCACAUAUUUUGUUAAAGAAGGCAAUGAAAAUUCUUGCUUUUUUCUUUAUUUGAGUUUUGAAAAUAAUAAAUAAUUACCUUAACAUCCACCAGGAAUAAUUAAUCAGAUGUCUGUUUGCUUGAUUGUCUAUUGGAAGGGAACAUACACACUUUGAAUGUAGAUAAAUUGAUUCCAUUUAUACAGUUGUAAUUGCUGAUAUGCUUUUUUAAAUGUCCCAAAUAGAAUUUAGCAAUUUUACUUAUGCAUUAUGAAAUAUCCAUACCUCAAAUUUAUAUUCUUGCAGGUAAAAUUGGAAUUACAAUGAAUAUAUAUGGUAAUUUUGGCCAAGAGAUAAUUGUGGGCCCUUCUUUCACCUUGGCAAAAUGUGAGCCUAGAGUUUAGAAUUGGAGACACCCAGGACAAGUACUGCGUACAUGGUGGGUACAGGAAAACUUAGUUCUUAAAGAUAUUUAAAACUCUGAUGUAGAUAGGAAUUUUAAUUUAGGCCUACAAGAGCCCACACAGACAGAAAAAAGACUUUUUAGCUCAAUCUAACUUUUAAUAUUUUACUAUUGAAUUUUAUCACUUUAUGUUUAUAAUCAUAAUAAAUAUUUAAAUUCAUGUCAUCUUAAAAUAUGCCUUUCAAUAUUUUCAAGUUUUCUUCUUCCUUUGUUAACCUAUUGGUAUUUUCCCACAUGCAUGAUUUUUUUUGUUUACAUAUAUUUUGUGACAUUUAUAAAAUAAUACAAUCUCUUGGAAAGCAUGUUAUUCUUUUUAUCUUUCAAAAUACCAAAGGCAGUUUUUUGCAUUUAGUGUUUCUGUUAUGAUAGCUUUCAACAUUUACAUUUAAUAUAAUAUUUCCUAUAUGGUGAACUUAUAUUUUUUAAAUUAAUACUUUCAGAAUAGAUAAUAAGCUUAAUUGCUGAUAUUGUCUGCCUAGAAAGGAGUUUCCCAAGGCCUAGUGCACUGGCUCACACCUGUAAUCCCAGCACUUUGGGAGUCCGAGGCAUGUGGAUCACGAGGUCAGGAGUUCAAGACCAGCCUGGCCAACAUAGUGAAACCUCAUCUCUACUAAAAAUACAAAAAUUAGCCGGGUGUGGUGGUGGGUGCCUAUAGUCCCAGCUACUUGGGAGGCUGAGGCAGAGAAUAGCUUUAACCUGGGAGGUAGAGGGUGCAGUGAGCAGAGAUCGUGCCUCUGCACUGCAACCUGGGAGACAGAGCAAGACUCCAUCUCAAAAAAAAAAAAAGAAA